AUUCUGGAAAGUCAGCACACAGACUAAAAUCUGAAUGCUACUGGAUAGAAUAGCCUGGCCCCUGCACAAAAACGACACCCAAAUUCAAGAGGCAUAUUACAUCUUC
rnacentral:snRNA from 1 species